CCGGACCGCCGCACGGCGGGCUCCCCGGACGAGACGCGCCGUACCCGGAUCGCCAAGACGACGCAGC
rnacentral:ncRNA from 1 species